rfam:Salmo salar isolate Sally breed double haploid chromosome ssa20, whole genome shotgun sequence.
UGCAUUCACUACUGUAAGUCGCUCUGGAUAAGAGCGUCUGCUAAAAAUGACUAAAA